rnacentral:lncRNA from 1 species
UUUUGGGCGAGAACUCUCAUCCAAGGUUCCAAGAUGUUGCAGCGAUUUCUUGGCCAGGUAUCACUAGCAAAUCCACACACUGCAUGGAUCUUUGCGGUGACACUCUACAUUUCCAUGGUCUUCGUCUUGCUGGCUUUUGGGAUUCACCACUUGAAGAAGAACUUCUCUCUCGUGGCUGGACUUAUUCUCACUGUUGUUAGCUUGGUUAUGCUGGAACUCAACUCCCCUCCUUCCUGAUUUCAUGAUCUUGAUCUUAAAUUCUCCCCAAAAUCAAUCAAACAAUCCAGUUUUUCUUGCUUCAAUGUCAAAGGUAUUGUUCGUACUCCUGGCACUUCGUGAUUUUAAAUAUUUAUUUAUUUUUAUAAAGAUUUUUGGUAUGUACAGCGACGGUGCCACUGAGAUAUUGUUUGAAAAUAUCAAAUCAGCUUCGUGACUUGUAUAGUACCUUGGCAAGGAAUUUCAAAAAAAAGAAUAAAUUCUAAAGC